CAUGUAGGCGGAUUAAUAAGUUUGAAGUGAAAUCCUAUAGCUUAACUAUAGAACUGCUUUGAAAACUGUUAAUCUAGAAUGUGGGAGAGGUAGAUGGAAUUUCUGGUGUAGGGGUAAAAUCCGUAGAGAUCAGAAGGAAUACCGAUUGCGAAGGCGAUCUACUGGAACAUUAUUGACGCCGAGAUGCAAAAGCGUGGGGAGCAACA
rnacentral:rRNA from 1 species